GACGAACGCUGGCGGCGUGCUUAACACAUGCAAGUCGAACGGUGAACCUCUUCGGAGGGGAUCAGUGGCGAACGGGUGAGUAACACGUGGGCAACCUGCCCCCGGCUCUGGGAUAACUCCAAGAAAUUGGGGCUAAUACCGGAUGUUCACCGCUUCCCGCAUGGGUGGUGGUGGAAAGGGUUUCCGGCUGGGGAUGGGCCCGCGGCCUAUCAGCUUGUUGGUGGGGUAGUGGCCUACCGAGGCGACGACGGGUAGCCGGCCUGAGAGGGUGACCGGCCACACUGGGACUGAGACACGGCCCAGACUCCUACGGGAGGCAGCAGUGGGGAAUAUUGCGCAAUGGGCGGAAGCCUGACGCAGCGACGCCGCGUGGGGGAUGACGGCCUUCGGAUUGUAAACCUCUUUCAGCAGGGACGAAGCGCAAGUGACGGUACCUGCAGAAGAAGCACCGGCCAACUACGUG
rnacentral:rRNA from 1 species